GGGCCGCUAGCUCAAUCGGAAGAGCCGGGGGCUUUUAACCCUCGAGCAGACCGGGAUCGAAACCCGGGCGGCCCA
rnacentral:tRNA from 1 species